rnacentral:rRNA from 1 species
CCUACGGGAGGCAGCAGUGAGGAAUAUUGGUCAAUGGACGAGAGUCUGAACCAGGCAAGUAGCGUGAAGGAUGACUGCCCUAUGGGUUGUAAACUUCUUUUAUAUGGGAAUAAAAUGUUCCACGUGUGGGAUUUUGUAUGUACCAUAUGAAUAAGGAUCGGCUAACUCCGUGCCAGCAGCCGCGGUAAUACGGAGGAUCCGAGCGUUAUCCGGAUUUAUUGGGUUUAAAGGGAGCGUAGGUGGAUUGUUAAGUCAGUUGUGAAAGUUUGCGGCUCAACCGUAAAAUUGCAGUUGAAACUGGCAGUCUUGAGUACAGUAGAGGUGGGCGGAAUUCGUGGUGUAGCGGUGAAAUGCUUAGAUAUCACGAAGAACUCCGAUUGCGAAGGCAGUUCACUGGACUGCAACUGACACUGAGGCUCGAAAGUGUGGGUAUCAAACAGGAUUAGAUACCCCUGUAGUC